rnacentral:rRNA from 1 species
UGCAGUCAAGGAGAAAUUUUCUUCGGAAAAUGAGUAAACUGGCGAACGGGUGAGUAACACGUAGGCGACCUGCCCUAGAGAUUGGGAUAACUUCGGGAAACCGGAGCUAAUACCGGAUAAUGCAGCGGGUCCUUCGGGACAUUGUUGUUAAAGCUGGCUUCGGCUAGUACUUUAGGAUGGGCCUGCGUCCGAUUAGCUUGUUGGUAGGGUAACAGCCUACCAAGGCGAUGACCGGUAGCUGGUCUGAGAGGAUGAUCAGCCACACUGGGAUUGAGAUACGGCCCAGACUCCUACGGGAGGCAGCAGUGGGGAAUUUUGCGCAAUGGGCGAAAGCCUGACGCAGCAACGCCGCGUGACCGAUGAAGCUUCUAGGAGUGUAAAGGUCUGCCGUGAGGGAAGAAAAAUCCGGAUGUUAAUAAUGUUCGGACGUGACGGUACCUCACAAGAAAGCACCGGCUAACUUCGUGCCAGCAGCCGCGGUAAUACGAGGGGUGCUAGCGUUGUCCGGAAUCACUGGGCGUAAAGGGUCCGUAGGCGUUUUGCUAAGUUGAUUGUUAAAUCCAUCGGCUCAACCGAUGAUCUGCAAUCAAAACUGGUAGAAUAGAGUUCGAGAGAGGAAAGUAGAAUUCCUGGUAUAGCGGUGACAUGCGUAGAUAUCAGGAGGAACACCAAUGGCGAAGGCAGCUUUCUGGCUCGAUACUGAC